CCCGUGACCACAACGCGGGGGAACCCCCCGGGAGCGCGGAGCCCGCCCCACCGCGCAGGUGAGCGGGGCUCACCGGCUCACCCGCUCCCCCCUCCACUUCCCCGGGCUGCCACGCCUUUGUCUCCGGUCUUUGUCUGUCCCGUCCGUGCCCGGGGCGGGGACCGCUGCUGCCACCAGCACCCUGCACUCUCGCACCCACCUCCUCCUUAGCGCCGGGCUGCCCCGCAGCACGCUCCCCUGGCAUGCCCCUGCACUCCCCCCGCACGGCCGGAGCCCCUCCGCCCCUCCCAGCCCCACCUCCUCCCGCACCAUGCACCCCGGUCCCCCGGGAUUCCCGACGUCCCCGGUUCCUCUCCACAUUCCCCCACUGCCUUCCCCCUGUCUCCUCCUCCUCCUCCUCCUCCUCUCGGGUUUGAACACCCCUUGCCCCCCGCAGACCUGCCUCCCCUCCGCCGCUCGCACAGCUCUGCCGUGCCCUGCCCUGCCCUGCCCUGCCCUGCCUGCCGGGCUCCGCCAGACCGGCACCUCCGCACAGGUAGUUGCCAAUAAAAUAGUAUUUCUAGCAUUAUGCCUUCAGCAAGUGAGCUUCCCAGUGCCUCCUAAAUCAGCCCUCAAGGAACAGUUUAUUGUCUUUUAUGGCCAGUAGAAAGACCUGCUUUUUGAAAACUGCAUGAAAAGAAGGCCCCUGUGCUGCCUGCCUAUUUCCAGGGAAUGGCUGAACUGAAAACAUGUUCCCAGGCUAUGAACAGCAACAGAGAGGAAACUUGGAAAGAUUUGGAAAGAAGGAUUGGCUGGUGAGUGCAUGAGCAGGGCUUUGUCAAGUAACAGGAUGAAGUCAUCUCUCUCUUAACUCCAGGAUGCUGGGCUGCUGUGAUGGCAGAGUUUCCACUGACUCAAAAUUCUCCACAUCUGUCUCUCAGGCUGAAAGAAAAGGAGAAAGGAAGAGCCCAGGCUACUCCUAGGGUAUCUUCUGUCAACUCCACAAAAAUUGGAGUCAGAAUUGGCCUCAAAGGCUGUUACCUGCUGCCCUUCACAGGUGACAAUGGCUGGUCUGUCGUGGUUUGAUAGUGCCCAAACACCAGGCACCCACAAAUAUUGUUUGCUCACCCUCUUAUGCUAAAGUUGGGCAGAGGAGAGGGGAAAAAAAAAUCACAAAGCUCAUGAGUUAAGGAUUGGGAGGAAAACACUCAAAGGGUGAAACAGAUUCAAAUUUAAAGGUAUAAGGUAUAAAAGGUUAUUAACAGAGUCAGAGGAGGACAAUGAGAAGUAAAAGCCUUUAAAACACCUUUUCCCCUCCCCAGCCCUUCUGUCUUUCCCACUGACAGCGCAGGGAGACAGGGCAUGGAGGUUUUGGUCAGUUC
rnacentral:lncRNA from 1 species